rnacentral:lncRNA from 1 species
CAGUUUGGAAUUUCUCACAGUAUUCUGCUUUCAGUUCUGUACUAUUGAUUUAUUUUGCUACUUUCUGUUUAAAGCUAUUCUUUCUCAGUUUUAAUUUCAGUUUGGCAAUGCAAAGAUUGUGGUCUCUACUGCUUGAUAUGCUCAUGUGUGCUGGACAGAUGAACUGUAACUUGAGAUGAUGAAGAUGAGAUCAAUCUGACUUUUUGUUUUACCAUCUGCCUAACUGCACUAAUUGGACAAGAGGGCAUGAAUGGAAAUUAAAGGAGAAGCAAUUCAGAACAAGCAUCAGAAAUCACUUUUUCAUGCAGAUAAUCAUUUAGUGGAAACUACAAGAUCAUUAGAAGAUUAGAAUCAAUGCAAUUCAUUGGGAAGAAAAAAAACACGUAUAACUGAAAGGUGUUCCUUAUAUGCAAUUGCUGUCAUCUUCCUGGCUAAUGGGUCUGGUUGCUGGCUGAUUCUAUAGGCCAGCCAUCUGACUAAUAGCUGCAGGUCUGUCCAAUCAAAGCUACUACCCCUUUAAUCAUGGUUGGCUGGAAUGACUGUUCAAAAGUUCUCCCCAGAGAGAAGCAAGGGAAGGCUCAUUU